GCAUCGGUUCCCAUAUGAUCACCAAAGUUAAACAAUGUUGAGCCUGGUCUAUACCUAGAUGGGUGACUGCAUGGGAAUACCAGGUGCUGCAAG